CCCUUAGAUGUUCUGGGCCGCACGCGCGCUACACUGACUGACUCAACGAGUUUACAACCUGUGCCGAAAGGUAUGGGUAAUCUUUUGAAAUUCAGUCGUGAUGGGGCUAGAUUAUUGCAACUAUUAAUCUUCAACGAGGAAUGCCUAGUAAGCGUGAUUCAUCAAAUCGCGUUGAUUACGUCCCUGCCCUUUGUACACACCGCCCGUCGCUCCUACCGAUUGAAUGUGUUGGUGAGGAGCUCGGAUUGGCAGCAGUUGGUGGUUCGCCACCGGCUAUUGCUGAGAAGUCCUCCAAACCGCCCCAUUUAGAGGAAGGAGAAGUCGUAACA
rnacentral:rRNA from 1 species